UUUCAGCAGACUCUGCAGGCUUGCCUGCCACUCUGCUAAAUGUCAGGCCAUAUAUCUCUUUUGGGGCAGUUCCCCUCUGAAGAAGCCAUACCAUCCCAAAAAACACAUAAGCAGGAAGGACCCAGAGGCACCCCAGUCUCGGCUGUAUUUAAAGUCUGAACUCAUGCUGUCAUCCUAACUUGCCUAGCAUACAAACUGAUUGGAGAAGACCGUGCUUAAGAUCACCAGACUAAAGCAAGAGACAAACUUCAGCAAUUCUUCUGUGUGUCUGCAAUCUCAAGGUCAGGCAAGGCUAUAGCCCACAUCCUCCAGCAACUAUUCUAUAACACUUUGCAAUGGCAUCAUUGAUCUCAAUGUGGCUACAUGAAACCCAGAUCCUGGACCAUAUCGUGCUUUAUUGAAAACUUUGAUUGCAGAGAUGUCAUCACAUCGGCAUUGAUGUAUGUGCUGCUGUCAUAAAUUAUUAUAAGCAGCCCCUAAGGCCAUAUCUGAACGAGGAGACCUGGAAAUAUAUCUGGAAUGUGCACCAGCGGUGGGAGUGCCUGCUCCAGCUGCCUCUGAGCCUCCUGCAGCUACAACACAUGCCAAGGCCUGCACCAGUAUCUACACCAGCCCUUUGAGGUGAACCAGUGGCCAUACACAACCACGCUGUCUUCAUUUGAACUUGCAGAACUAAGUGCAGGACCAGGGUUUCUCCUGGCUCUGCUCAUGCUGAGUAGUAACUUUCCUACUGCAGUCUACUGAAGAACCUGCUUAUUGAAGUCAAGAAAGCAGAAUCUGACCUUUGGCAGAUAGUUUUACCAUAUCCCAUGGAGUAAGUUACUAUCUAAAAUGCACAAUAAAACGCACAUUAAAUAAU